GGCUGCCACCACUGUGCCUUGCCGCCGCGACUCCUCCUCUUGUGGGCUCGCGACACAGCCGACUCCCUGCUGCUGGUGCCCUAGCUCCGAACCAAGUCUUCUUCUCCUCUUCCGAGCGCCGGCAGCCGACAAGAUCCUUUGCCCUAGUGCCCUCUGCCAUUGAUCAAGUCCCCGUAGGUUGUGCUGUUUUGGUGGAUCCGGAAAUUGGGGUGUUGUGGGCUGCUCUUUGGUCCAGCAGCCACUACUUUUGGCAGUAGAUCAGUGACCCCGACUGGGAUAUUGAGGACUUUGACGCGAGACGAGUAUCUCGGAGUCAGAUUUGG